GCUGGGCGUGGUAGUGCACGCCUGUGAUCCCAGCUACUAGGGAAGCUGAGGCAGGAGGAUUGCUUGAAACCAGGGGACAGAGGUUGUAAUGAGCCGAGAUCAUGCCACUGCACUCCGGCCUGGGUGACAGAGCAAGAUUCUGUCUCAA
rnacentral:SRP_RNA from 2 species